GACAUGGGGCAGCUGGGCUGAUUUAGGAAGCCGAGAGCUGUUGACAGAAGAGGUUUGCUCCUCCUGGUGCAGCAUUAGCUGCUCUGUUGGGGUGGUGAACCCCAAAUUUGUUCUCCUGGGGCUCUCCCAGGUGCCACCACUGCGGGUGUGGAGCUGUGGGGAGCUCAGGGGUGGCAGGAGAUCCCUGGAGAGGCACAAAUUCACAUCCAAGGGCUGGCUCCUCACCUGCCACCGCUUCUGACAGCCUCUGGGCCACCGUGAGCUCGACCUGAGCCAGUACAAGGACUGGCAUCAUCCGAUGGAACUGGGAAAAGCAGGAACAACAGCCUGCACCUGGCCUGCUGGUACCUGGUGGAAAUCUCUCUGCUGAGGACAGGCUGAGGGAACUGGGCCUGUUCAGCCUCAAGAAGAGAUGAGUGAGAAGGGAUCUCCUCCAUGUCUGUCAGUGUCUGAAGGGUGGAUGUCAAGAAGAUGGACCAGGCUCUUCCCAGUGGUGCCAAGAAAUAGGACAAGAGGCAAUGGGCAGAAAUUGAUGCCCAGGAAGUUCUGCCUCAACAUGAGGAAGAACUUCUUUCAUUUACAUUGACCAAGCACUGAACUAUCUGCCCAGAGAGGGUGUGGAGUCUCCCUCACUGGAGAUAUUCCAGAACCCUCUGGGCACACUCUGUGCCACGUGCUCUGGGAUGACCCUGCUGGAGCAGGAAGGUUGGACCAGAUGAGUUACUGUGGUUUUUGCCAGCCUAAUCCAUCCAAUCCCGGGAUUCUGUGAACCACUCAGCCCCACGAGCCAGGGAGCUCUGGGGCAGACUCUGGCCAAGGGCAGCACUAUUGCCAGGGUGGCUCAGCAGCAGAAAGAGCACUUUUCCUCCCAAAAUGCUCAUGAGAGGCAGAUGAAUAAAAUGACAGAGCUUGAAGCAAGGCCAGCCACAGGGCUGGGAGCUGUGCUUCUUGCAGGACCUGAGACAGGCCGGGCUGAGCUCUGGAGCAUUCUCUGCCUCCCACGCCUCAAGUGCAGUGAACUGAAAAAAAUUACUUUAUCAAACUAGAAAACUGCAUUUCUUCAGGACCUCCACUCCAGUGGAAGCUGCAAAACAUUUUCUAUAAAUGAAUUUAUGUAGAAAUAAAUAAGCCAGAGCUCCUCCCUGA